GUAACAAGGUUUCCGUAGGUGAACCUGCGGAAGGAUCAUUACAGUAUUCUUUUGCCAGCGCUUAACUGCGCGGCGAAAACCUUACACACAGUGUCUUUUUGAUACAGAACUCUUGCUUUGGUUUGGCCUAGAGAUAGGUUGGGCCAGAGGUUUAACAAAACACAAUUUAAUUAUUUUUACAGUUAGUCAAAUUUUGAAUUAAUCUUCAAAACUUUCAACAACGGAUCUCUUGGUUCUCGCAUCGAUGAAGAACGCAGCGAAAUGCGAUAAGUAAUAUGAAUUGCAGAUUUUCGUGAAUCAUCGAAUCUUUGAACGCACAUUGCGCCCUCUGGUAUUCCAGAGGGCAUGCCUGUUUGAGCGUCAUUUCUCUCUCAAACCCCCGGGUUUGGUAUUGAGUGAUACUCUUAGUCGGACUAGGCGUUUGCUUGAAAAGUAUUGGCAUGGGUAGUACUGGAUAGUGCUGUCGACCUCUCAAUGUAUUAGGUUUAUCCAACUCGUUGAAUGGUGUGGCGGGAUAUUUCUGGUAUUGUUGGCCCGGCCUUACAACAACCAAACAAGUUUGACCUCAAAUCAGGUAGGAAUACCCGCUGAACUUAAGCAUAU
rnacentral:misc_RNA from 1 species